UUUGAACGCUGGGGGGCGGCGUGCUUAACACAUGCAAGUCGAACGGGAUCCAUCAGGCUUUGCUUGGUGGUGAGAGUGGCGAACGGGUGAGUAAUGCGUGACCGACCUGCCCCAUACACCGGAAUAGCUCCUGGAAACGGGUGGUAAUGCCGGAUGCUCCGACUCCUCGCAUGGGGUGUCGGGAAAGAUUUCAUCGGUAUGGGAUGGGGUCGCGUCCUAUCAGGUAGUCGGCGGGGUAACGGCCCACCGAGCCUACGACGGGUAGCCGGCCUGAGAGGGCGACCGGCCACAUUGGGACUGAGAUACGGCCCAGACUCCUACGGGAGGCAGCAGUGGGGAAUAUUGCACAAUGGGCGCAAGCCUGAUGCAGCGACGCCGCGUGCGGGAUGACGGCCUUCGGGUUGUAAACCGCUUUUGAUCGGGAGCAAGCCUUCGGGUGAGUGUACCUUUCGAAUAAGCACCGGCUAACUACGUGCCAGCAGCCGCGGUAAUACGUAGGGUGCAAGCGUUAUCCGGAAUUAUUGGGCGUAAAGGGCUCGUAGGCGGUUCGUCGCGUCCGGUGUGAAAGUCCAUCGCUUAACGGUGGAUCUGCGCCGGGUACGGGCGGGCUGGAGUGCGGUAGGGGAGACUGGAAUUNCCCGGUGUAACGGUGGAAUGUGUAGAUAUCGGGAAGAACACCAAUGGCGAAGGCAGGUCUCUGGGCCGUUACUGACGCUGAGGAGCGAAAGCGUGGAGCG
rnacentral:rRNA from 1 species